ACCUAGUAGUACGGAAUAGCCAUUAGAAAUGGUGGGUAAUACUGUAUAAUCCCCGAGGGGGAAAGAUUUAUCGCUAUUAGAUGAGCCUACGUUAGAUUAGCUAGUUGGCGAGGUAUGGCUUACCAAGGCUAUGAUCUAUAGCUGGUCUGAGAGGACGAUCAGCCACACUGGAACUGAGAUACGGUCCAGACUCCUACGGGAGGCAGCAGUGGGGAAUAUUGGACAAUGGGCGAAAGCCUGAUCCAGCUAUGCCGCGUGAGCGAAGAAGGCCUUCGGGUUGUAAAACUCUUUCAAUAGGGAAGA
rnacentral:rRNA from 1 species